rnacentral:rRNA from 1 species
UACGGAGGGUGCGAGCGUUGUCCGGAAUCAUUGGGCGUAAAGGGCGCGUAGGUGGCGGGACAAGCGUGCGGUGAAAGCUCGGGGCUCAACCCCGAGUCGGCCGUGCGAACUGUCUUGCUUGAGCACUGUAGAGGCAGGCGGAAUUCCUGGUGUAGCGGUGAAAUGCGUAGAGAUCAGGAGGAACACCCGUGGCGAAGGCGGCCCUCUGGCUCGAUCCUGACGCUGAGGCGCGAAAGCGUGGGGAGCGAACGGG